rnacentral:rRNA from 1 species
UUAUGGCUCAGGACGAACGCUGGCGGCGUGCCUAAUACAUGCAAGUCGAACGGUCUUUCGUAUGGAAGCUUGCUUCCACUGAGAAGAUAGUGGCGAACGGGUGAGUAACGCGUGGGUAACCUGCCCAUAAGAGGGGGAUAACAUCCGGAAACGGGUGCUAAUACCGCAUAGUUUUCUUGAUCGCAUGAUCGGGAAAGGAAAGACGGCCUUUGUGCUGUCGCUUAUGGAUGGACCCGCGGCGUAUUAGUUAGUUGGUGAGGUAACGGCUCACCAAGACGAUGAUACGUAGCCGACCUGAGAGGGUGAUCGGCCACAUUGGGACUGAGACACGGCCCAAACUCCUACGGGAGGCAGCAGUAGGGAAUCUUCCGCAAUGGACGAAAGCCUGACGGAGCAACGCCGCGUGAGUGAAGAAAGGUUUUCGGAUCGUAAAACUCUGUUGUCAGAGAAGAACAAGUUGGAGAGUAACUGCUCCAGCCUUGACGGUAUCUGACCAGAAAGCCACGGCUAACUACGUGCCAGCCGCGGC